AGAGUUUGAUCAUGGCUCAGGAUGAACGCUAGCGGCAGGCUUAACACAUGCAAGUCGAGGGGUAGUUGUCUUCGGAUAAUGAGACCGGCGCACGGGUGCGUAACGCGUAUACAAUCUACCUUUUACAGAGGGAUAGCCCAGAGAAAUUUGGAUUAAUACCUCAUAGUAUUUUUGAAUCGCAUGAUUUGAUUAUUAAAGUUCCAACGGUAAAAGAUGAGUAUGCGUCCCAUUAGCUAGAUGGUAAGGUAACGGCUUACCAUGGCAACGAUGGGUAGGGGUCCUGAGAGGGAGAUCCCCCACACUGGUACUGAGACACGGACCAGACUCCUACGGGAGGCAGCAGUGAGGAAUAUUGGACAAUGGGCGCAAGCCUGAUCCAGCCAUGCCGCGUGCAGGAAGAAGGUCCUAUGGAUUGUAAACUGCUUUUAUACAGGAAGAAACACCUCUACGUGUAGAGACUGACGGUACUGUAGAAUAAG
rnacentral:rRNA from 1 species